AUGCUUCCCGCGUGGGCUCAGGAGCGCCUCUUUCCCACCCAGGUGACUGGCAGCGGCCCGAUGCGCCCGUCUACUUCCUGCUCGGCCUUGGCCUCCUCCUGCUCCUGCUGGCGCUGGCCUUCGCCCUCCUCAAGAGGUACGUUGCCUCCUCCCGCUCUCAUGGCGGCUCUGCAAAGGGGCCGAGCCCUGCAGGGCCCCGGGAGGGCUGCGGGGGUCGGGGCAGCCGUGCUGGCGCCCCUCGCGAGCGGCAGGACCAACCGCCUUUCCUCGGCCGCAGGGCGCGGAGCAGCUGCGAGGCCAGCAUCCCCACGCCGGCCGCCUUCUUCCAGCCUCUCUACCUCGCUCACCGCGGGGACUUCAAGGUUGAAUCUCUCCUUGUUCAGCUUCCAUCCAUUAUUCCUCGUCUGACGUUCAGGUGCCUUGGAAAAUAGCUUGACCCCUUCCUCCUCUCUGUGGCAGCCCCUCAAAUAUUGGAAGAUGCUCUCCUGUCUCCCCUGGUCCUUCUCUUCCCUAGACCAGCCAGGCCCAGUUCCUGCAACCGUUCAUCCUAUGUUUCAGCCUCCAGUCCCCUCAUCAUCCUGGUUGCUCUUCUCUGCACUCUUUCGAGAGUCUCAACAUCUUUUUUAUAAUGUGGUUAGUAAUCAUGUUCUAAUGGUACAGUUGAGUAUAUAUUUAUAAGAAUACUCUUUGUUCAGUGUCUUUGCUUUCUCUUCUCCUUUUGCACGUAAUAAAGUCAUGGGGACAGGGACAUGGUGAUUGAAAGAACUUUCU
rnacentral:lncRNA from 1 species